AACAGAACUCUGGCAAGUAUUGUUCAGAUCUCAUUUCUGUCCACAUGUAGAAUCCUGACAAGUCAUAUGUGAAGCACUGGCCACCAAGAAAAGAAUUUCUACAGCUGCAGAACACUGGGUUCCAUUUUGGACAGUUGUGAGAAAGAUAUGCAUUUCUUUCAACAGAAGUCCAGAGGCACUGGAAAUAUUCUUACUAAAGAAAUGCCAAAAAUUGGUUAAGGAGACUGUGCUAUGAAGCUCACAGAAUGCCCAACUACAUAUGGGAUUAAAAGGCAUAUCAAGGAGAGUGGGGGAAAGGGAGAGAAAUCACCAACAGGUUGAAGCAUUCUUUGUACAAGAACACCUUCGGAAGAUUCUUUCCCAAUCCCACUUCUUGUACGAGGAAGCAACUGUAGCAAAAAGCCUGGAUUUGUGAGCUUCCAUAGAAACAGUUUUAGAGGCUAUGUUGCAUUAUUCAUUAAUGUUGUGGAUAACAACUUCAACCUCAGGACUGUUGAGCCAGCACUUUCAAGAGCAGUAAAUUCCCUGAGGGAGGGAAGGAGAAAAAUUGUCCCUACCCUGAGGUUUGAAAAAUAGUCUUCACUACAGGAAGAGUUUGCUGAGGGGUUGUGUCUAAUGAGAAGAAAUUAUCUGAGAGGAUAAUCACCCCCUGCAACAGUUUUGGAAACCUGAAGCUCCCUAGAAGACUGCUAUAGAGAUUUUUUUCGUAUUCUUCCAUCCCCUGACGGGCACCUGCUGAAUCUUUGUGAGAUCCUGAAAAGGGGAAUUGGUGCUGUGGAAACAUUAUUUCUUUCUUUCUUUUUCUACCUGAUAUGCCUAUGGGAAAAAGAGAAACAGUGUCUUCCUUAUGGACAAUAUCGUGUAUGCAAACCAGAACACAAAAUUUGAAAUGAGUAUUUAGAGAGGCAGUGAGAAACAAGACAGGAUUAAAACUCCCUAAACUCUUCUAUUCAGCUGAUAUCUUCAGCUUAUAUUGAUUAUAAAAUUUUGUGGUUUGUUUUGGGAGGGACAGCAAGAGAGGUUAACUAAUAUUUAUCUGUCCCAGUUAUUAGUCCUUAGGAGUAUAUAGUAUGUUCCAGUCUUCUCAGUCUUGCAAAAAUUUUCUUUUGAAUGACAGUAACAGUUUUGUUUCUUGUUAAUAAUGUUUUUACUGCACUUACGGUGAUUUGGCCGUGAUAUCCUCAGAGAUACCUUGUUUGAUGUUCUUGUUCAAAAUUUGUAACACAGGGCAUCUGAUAACUUUUGUGAAAGUUUUACUUUAAUAUAUUAAAAGAGAGAAAAAAUAAAUUCUCAGUUUUCAGGGCUAAGAAUUCA
rnacentral:lncRNA from 1 species